AUUGAACGCUGGCGGCAGGCCUAACACAUGCAAGUCGAACGAGUGGCGGACGGGUGAGUAAUGUCUGGGAAACUGCCUGAUGGAGGGGGAUAACUACUGGAAACGGUAGCUAAUACCGCAUACCAUCGGAUGUGCCCAGAUGGGAUUAGCUAGUAGGUGGGGUAAAGGCUCACCUAGGCGACGAUCCCUAGCUGGUCUGAGAGGAUGACCAGCCACACUGGGACUGAGACACGGCCCAGACUCCUACGGGAGGCAGCAGUGGGGAAUAUUGCACAAUGGGCGCAAGCCUGAUGCAGCCAUGCCGCGUGUAUGAAGAAGGCCUUCGGGUUGUAAAGUACUUUCAGUAGGGAGGCGUUACCCGCAGAAGAAGCACCGGCUAACUACGUGCCAGCAGCCGCGGUAAUAC
rnacentral:rRNA from 1 species